rnacentral:rRNA from 1 species
UACGUAGGGGGCAAGCGUUAUCCGGAUUUACUGGGUGUAAAGGGAGCGUAGACGGCUAUGCAAGUCUGGUGUGAAAACCCGGGGCUCAACCCCGGGACUGCAUUGGAAACUGUGUGGCUUGAGUGUCGGAGAGGUAAGUGGAAUUCCUAGUGUAGCGGUGAAAUGCGUAGAUAUUAGGAGGAACACCAGUGGCGAAGGCGGCUUACUGGACGAUGACUGACGUUGAGGCUCGAAAGCGUGGGGAGCAAACAGG